rnacentral:misc_RNA from 1 species
GCUAGUGUAGUGAGUUGAGUGAGUGAUGUUAGUGCUAAAGUGUGAGUGGAGACUCUGGAGUAAAACACUAAUGUGUGAGGCCGUGUGUAUUAUGCGUAUGUGCAGAAAUAGUGUAGCCUAGUGAGGUGUGGAUCCAUGUGAUAUGAGCGGUGUUACAUCAAGAGUCGUGUAAAGUUCUGAUUAGUGUAAUAAAAGUGGAUUUUAGGUUGAGUCCACCAUGUUGAGAAUUUAGGAAUUUUAACUCAACACCAGCAUGUGUGCAUAAUGUGAAAAAACACAAGUAAAAACGUCAGUUGACAACAUCAAAGAAGC